AAUAAGCGGAGGAAAAGAAACCAACCGGGAUUGCCUUAGUAACGGCGAGUGAAGCGGCAAAAGCUCAAAUUUGAAAUCUGGUACCUUCGGUGCCCGAGUUGUAAUUUGGAGAGGGCAACUUUGGGGCCGUUCCUUGUCUAUGUUCCUUGGAACAGGACGUCAUAGAGGGUGAGAAUCCCGUGUGGCGAGGAGUGCGGUUCUUUGUAAAGUGCCUUCGAAGAGUCGAGUUGUUUGGGAAUGCAGCUCUAAGUGGGUGGUAAAUUCCAUCUAAAGCUAAAUAUUGGCGAGAGACCGAUAGCGAACAAGUACAGUGAUGGAAAGAUGAAAAGAACUUUGAAAAGAGAGUGAAAAAGUACGUGAAAUUGUUGAAAGGGAAGGGCAUUUGAUCAGACAUGGUGUUUUGUGCCCUCUGCUCCUUGUGGGUAGGGGAAUCUCGCAUUUCACUGGGCCAGCAUCAGUUUUGGUGGCAGGAUAAAUCCAUAGGAAUGUAGCUUGCCUCGGUAAGUAUUAUAGCCUGUGGGAAUACUGCCAGCUGGGACUGAGGACUGCGACGUAAGUCAAGGAUGCUGGCAUAAUGGUUAUAUGCCG
rnacentral:rRNA from 1 species